AGCCUUACCCAGCUUGCAGCGAAUAGGUUAACUAGGUUAAUGGGUUAUGCCUUGGCUGUUUGGUUUCCAAGACAACAUAACCAUGUUUUGUGUUGCUGGUUAGGUUGCUAUCUAGCGGACACCACGGCAGCUGCUGGCUUCUUAGCUAGCUUGGGUUAUUAGCACCUACCUGCAGCUGGCCAGCGAACAUUACCACGACAUCUAGCUGAGGACAAUAAUGGAGCCAGAAUAAUUUGGCAGACUACGUUAGCUAGUUAGCUAGCUAGCUAGCAUUCGGUCGCUUUACAUAUUUGACAGACCAAAACAAUGACAAGAAAAGAUUUCAGUUGUUGGAAAACUCCACACAAGGGAACAUCUCCCUGCUGAUACGCUCCGCUGCCUACAAUGACAUCGGCUCAUACCGGUGCAGCUGUGGAGGAAGAACGUCUGAAGUCAAAUUAAAGGUGUUCGUUCCUACUGUAGUGAUGGUGAGAGAGCAGGAAAACAUCACUCUUCCCUGCUAUGGUGACACACGUAGGGAUGCCAGGGACGCGCAGUGGGUAAAAGAAGGACGGAGGGUUCUGCUCUACGACCGUGUGAGAUGAGGGACUUUAUCAGUGUACCAUUAAUGAUGAAUCUCGCGAGGGAGAACUAGAAGUUCAAAUUAAAGUUAUCUAAUUGUGAAAUAAUCUUCACUUUUUGAAGAAUCUGUGCCAUGAGCUGAACCAAACAGACUUUUAUUUAUAAACCAUUUAUACAAAACAUUAGAUAAUCACAUGUACAACUGUAGCUUCAGACAUAUUUAACAUGUAAAACUGAAGCGAAUCAGAUUUGAAAAGGAAAAAAAAAAAGUUACAUUGGAGGUAGAAUAAAGUUUUCAAAAGUUUUCAGGAGCUCUGCUCUUUUAUUACUAUGGGCCAUAAAUCUACUAAAACCAGUCUUCAAGAUUCAUUCAAAACAUUUCUCUACCUCACGCCGAGACACGAUCUUCAAGUAACACACGUGCAGACGGUAAGUAGCAGCAGUAGUCCUUAGUUUAGUGCCCAGCAUCAGGGGCCCCAUGUGAUUCUGGAACAGCAUGGUUGAGGUCAUCAAUGCGAC